GUAGCUAGGCGCGACUGAGAG
rnacentral:misc_RNA from 1 species